rnacentral:lncRNA from 1 species
CUCACUUGUCCUAUUUAUUUUGUCUAUUCAUAGUCCUAUUUACUUUUUCCAGGCACUCAAGAGAAGUUUCUAAAUUGGAAACCUAUGCAGAAAAAUAUCUAUUUUUUACUGGCUGUCUCACCUUAUAUUAUUAAUAAAGAACUCUACAGUGUGACUUCCACAAGAAAAAGCAGGCAAAGAAAAUCAGAAAUAUAUCCUGGGAGCUAUGAGGAAUAAUAAAUGAAUGAAUACAUUCUGCAAGGAGCAGCAACAGAAAAGGUUGGACCGAAGGACCAUCAAAGGGACACUUGCCACUAACAUGAACACGGAUGUACAGAAAAUGUGCUGCCUAACUUUUUGGCUUUUGGCAACCAUGUGAAGCAAUGAGCCAGUGUCUUCAUUUCAAAGAGAACAAGAGAAACUGAGUACUUAGUUAAUGAGAGUUGGAUACCAGCUAACAGUGAAAAAACCUAAGGCCCUUAAACCUUUUUGCAGAACAAAGAUUUUUCAAACCUGGCAGAACUGACUAUUGUAUUGAUCCUGGUAUUACAAACAAGCCUCACACAAACCAAGAAAGAUUUAAAGUAAAUACAUUUGGGACUGAAGGAAGGCUCAUAGAAUUAGAAUUAGAAGAGACUUCUGCAGUCACCAAGUCCUGUUCACUCCUGUUACAGAUGAAGAAACUAAGUCUUAUAGAACUUUAAGGACUUGCCCAAG